UACAGAGGUCCCGAGCGUUGUUCGGAUUCAUUGGGCGUAAAGGGUGCGUAGGUGGCGCUGUAAGUGGGGUGUGAAAUCCCGGGGCUUAACUCCGGAACUGCAUUCCAUACUGCGGUGCUUGAGGACUGGAGAGGAGACUGGAAUUUACGGUGUAGCAGUGAAAUGCGUAGAGAUCGUAAGGAAGACCAGUGGCGAAGGCGGGUCUCUGGACAGUUCCUGACACUGAGGCACGAAGGCCAGGGGAGGCAAACGGG
rnacentral:rRNA from 1 species